rnacentral:rRNA from 1 species
UACGGGGGGGGCAAGCGUUGUUCGGAAUUACUGGGCGUAAAGGGUUCGUAGGUGGCUUGCUAAGUCAGACGUGAAAUCCCUCAGCUUAACUGGGGAACUGCGUCUGAGACUGGCAAGCUUGAGUGCAGGAGAGGAAUGCGGAAUUCCAGGUGUAGCGGUGAAAUGCGUAGAUAUCUGGAGGAACACCGGUGGCGAAGGCGGCAUCCUGGACCGGCAUUGACGCUGAGGAGCGAAAGCCAGGGGAGCAAACGGG